AGAGUUUGAUCCUGGCUCAAGAUGAACGCUGGCGGCAUGCCUAAUACAUGCAAGUCGAACGGGGUGCUUGCACCCAUUGGCGAACGGGUGAGUAACACGUAUCUAAUCUACCUUUUAGUGGGGGAUAACAGUUGGAAACGACUGCUAAUACCGCAUACGACGUCAUUAUCGCAUGAGAAGACGUUAAAAGAUCCGUUUGGAUCGCUAGAACAUGAGGAUGCGGCGUAUUAGCUAGUAGGUGAGGUAAUGGCUCACCUAGGCGAUGAUACGUAGCCGAACUGAGAGGUUGAUCGACCACAUUGGGACUGAGAUACGGCCCAGACUCCUACGGGAGGCAGCAGUAGGGAAUUUUUCACAAUGGACGAAAGUCUGAUGAAGCAAUGCCGCGUGAGUGAUGACGGUCUUCGGAUUGUAAAGCUCUGUUGUAAGGGAAGAAAUGGUAGGAUAGGAAAUGAUCCUGCUUUGACGGUACCUUACCAGAAAGCCACGGCUAACUAUGUGCCAGCAGCCGCGGUAAUACAUACGUGGCAAGCGUUAUCCGGGAUUUAUUGGGCGUACAGGUGCGUAAGUGGUUCGAUAAGCUUUAAGGGUUAAAUCCCGGGGGCUCACCCCGGGUUCGCCUUGAAAACUGUCGUACUAGAAUACAGAUAAGGUAGAUGGAAUUCCUGGUGUAGCGUGAAAUGCGUAGA
rnacentral:rRNA from 1 species